AUCAAUCAAAUACUCACAACCAUGGGGCACCAGGCGCAGCACGCCACGGACGACACCGAGGAGCUGCUGGCAGCGCACCGCGAGCUGUGGUGCCAUGCCCUGGGCUACGUCAAGUCCAUGGCGCUCAAAUGCGCCUUGGACCUGCGCAUCCCCGACAUCAUCCAACGCUGCGGCGGAAGCGCCACACUAGGCCAGCUGCUCGCCGCCAGCGAGGUCCCGGCGUCCAACCUCGGCUACCUUCGACGGGUCAUGCGCACGCUGACAGCCAUGCGCAUCUUCGCGGUCGUCGGCCACGGUCACGGUCCCGACAAGGCCGACGACCCUGCAGACGACGACGCGACCGCCGUCUCCUACCGGCUCACCCCGGCGUCCCGCCUGCUCGCCACCAGCGACGACGACGACGACGCCUCGAAGAAUAAUCUGAGCAUACAUCCCAACAUCUCCAGCCACGUCCGUCCCAAAAACGUCUCCCUCCUGUUCAGCAUGGCCGAGUGGAUGAAGGACGAGCAGGCGCUCUCCGUGUCGCUCUACGAGACGGUGAACCGCAAGUGCAUGUGGGCGUGCGUAGAAGACGACGCCGCGACCAGAGCCUGCUUCUACGAAAGCAUGGACGCCGACACCCGCCUCGUCAUGCAGGCCGUGAUCCGCAAGUGCCCUGCCGUCUUCGACGACGGCCUCACGUCGCUCGUCGACGUCGGCGGCGCCCGGGGCACGGCCGCUGCGGCCGUCGUCGCCGCCUUCCCGCACAUCCAGAAGUGCACCGUCAUGGACCUCCCCCACAUCGUCGCCGAGGCUCCCGCCGGCACCGGACUGUGCUUCCACGGCGGCGACAUGUUUGAGCACAUCCCGUCGGCUGAUGCAGUUAUGCUCAAGUGGAUUGGAUUCUGCACGACUGGGAUGACGACAAGUGCGUCAAGAUAAUGGAGCGCUGCAAGGAAGCGAUCAGUGGCAAGGAAGGGAGAGGAGGGAAGGUGAUUAUAAUAGAAACAGUGCUUGGAUCUCGGCCAGACGACGACGCGACAUGCAAGGAGACGUAUGUCUUGGAUCUCCAAAUACUGAGCUUCGUGAACGGAGCCGAGCGAGAGGAGCACGAGUGGAGGAGGAUCUUCCUAGCUGCUGGAUUCCGUGACUACAAGAUCACGCACACUCGUGGUAUCCCGUCGAUCAUCGAGGUCUUCCCAUGAUGGAUGAGAGUCGAUCGAUGGAUCGAGAGAGAGGGCAGGGAAUAAGUUAGUUUGAAUAAGGUGCGUGCGUGCGUGCAUGCUGAUAUAGCUUGCAUUGUGUUUGUAAUAAUCAAUCAUAUGCAUGGUGAACAUGUUUACCAUUUAUUUUCAUUAUUAGUUAGCAUUUGUGAUUUGUGGGCGUACGUAGUAGAAUAAUCACGGGCUUUCAUCAAGCUCUCAUGUCAAC
rnacentral:misc_RNA from 1 species